GACAGAGGAUGCAAGCGUUAUCCGGAAUGAUUGGGCGUAAAGCGUCUGUAGGUGGCUUUUCAAGUCCGCCGUCAAAUCCCAGGGCUCAACCCUGGACAGGCGGUGGAAACUACCAAGCUGGAGUACGGUAGGGGCAGAGGGAAUUUCCGGUGGAGCGGUGAAAUGCGUAGAGAUCGGAAGGAACAUCAGUGGCGAAAGCGACUUCCUGGACCAAUACUGACGCUCAUGUGCGAAAGCGUGGGGAGCAAACAGG
rnacentral:rRNA from 1 species